GAUGAACGCUGGCGGCGUGCCUAAUACAUGCAAGUCGAGCGAACAGACGAGGAGCUUGCUCCUCUGACGUUAGCGGCGGACGGGUGAGUAACACGUGGAUAACCUACCUAUAAGACUGGGAUAACUUCGGGAAACCGGAGCUAAUACCGGAUAACAUGUUGAACCGCAUGGUUCAACAGUGAAAGACGGUCUUGCUGUCACUUAUAGAUGGAUCCGCGCCGCAUUAGCUAGUUGGUAAGGUAACGGCUUACCAAGGCAACGAUGCGUAGCCGACCUGAGAGGGUGAUAGGCCACACUGGAACUGAGACACGGUCCAGACUCCUACGGGAGGCAGCAGUAGGGAAUCUUCCGCAAUGGGCGAAAUCCUGACGGAGCAACGCCGCGUGAGUGAAGAAGGUCUUCGGAUCGUAAAACUCUGUUAUUAGGGAAGAACAAAUGUGUAAGUAACUAUGCACGUCUUGACGGUACCUAAUCAGAAAGCCACGGCUAACUACGUG
rnacentral:rRNA from 1 species